rnacentral:rRNA from 1 species
UACAGAGGGGGCAAGCGUUGUUCGGAAUUACUGGGCGUAAAGGGCGCGUAGGCGGCCUGUUAAGUCGAACGUGAAAUCCCCGGGCUCAACCCGGGAACUGCGUCCGAUACUGGCAGGCUUGAAUCCGGGAGAGGGAUGCGGAAUUCCAGGUGUAGCGGUGAAAUGCGUAGAUAUCGGGAAGAACACCAGUGGCGAAAGCGCUCUACUGGGCCAUAACUGACACUGAGGGACGAAAGCUAGGGGAGCGAAAGGG